UACAGAGGUCCCAAGCGUUGUUCGGAUUCACUGGGCGUAAAGGGUGCGUAGGUGGCGAGGUAAGUCGGAUGUGAAAGCUCGGAGCUCAACUCCGAAAUGGCAUUGGAAACUACCUUGCUCGAGGGUUGGAGGGGGGACUGGAAUGCUUGGUGUAGCAGUGAAAUGCGUAGAUAUCAAGCGGAACACCAGUGGCGAAGGCGAGUCCCUGGACAACUCCUGAUACUGAGGCACGAAAGCUAGGGGAGC
rnacentral:rRNA from 1 species